AUUAACUUGGAAUCCUCAGGGGGAGAUUGUUUAUCAUGGCAGAGACAUUGCUGGUACUAACAUCGAGAACCUUUUACAAUACGCACUUUUACCAUACAACUCUCACAUUCCUGAACCACGAGGGCUUGACCUGUUUACAAAAGGUUUAGUAGAAGCAGGGGUUAAUAAAGAUUUAAUUAAAAAUGAGUAUUUAUUGUCAAAAAUGGCAAAGGAGGAACAUGAAAUGCCACAAUCUGAGAGUGAUGUUGAAAGCGAAUCUGGUGAAGAGAACAGGGAAUCUGACAAGAGUGAUAAUGAAAGCGAAUAUGAUGAUAAUGAGGAUGAUGAUGGUGAUGAUAAUGAUGAUGAGUCCGAGAAACUAGCUUGUAACCAUUGUGGUGAAGAGACUGGUCACAUUGUAUACUUAAUGAAGUGCCCAAGAUGUUCGUGGAAAGAUUUCUACUGGGGCAAAGACGCUCAAUGUAUGAUAUGUGAUGAACAGUCACCUCUACUGUUUUCGCAUGUCAUUGGUUUCUGCGAGCUAUGUUCGUAUGGUACGUCUAACACCAAGACGGGUGGAGUGGAGUUCACACCAAAAAUGGACAAAUAAAAUAUCCAGCAGAUUGGACCGAACGUGACCUAGCGCGAAUGACUCCGGAAGCAAGAGAGGAUUAUGAACGUUUUAUAUUGAGCGACCGACCAAAAUAUAUUCCAAUGAAGCCGGAAAAACUUGCAAAGUUAUCCCCAGAAGAUAGACAAGAAUAUGAGAACUCUUUAAAAAUAACAAAAACACCUAGACGUUACGCUCUUAGAAGUAGAC
rnacentral:lncRNA from 1 species